rnacentral:sRNA from 2 species
AUGCUCCUUGUUGUGUUUAGUGUUGGCAGAUAUCUGAUCGCCGCUUGGCGAGUCGGAGUUGAACCUCGAACUUCCCCCUCCCCAUACGAAGUUCGAGGUUUUUUUUGCCUGCGA